rnacentral:rRNA from 1 species
CCUGGCGGCACUAGCGGGGUGGUCACAGCUGACGCCAUGCCGAUCUCAGAAGUGAAACGCCGUAGCGCCGAUGGUAGUGUGGGGUUUCCCCAUGCGAGAGUAGGGAACUGCCAGGC